UAACCUGCCUAUUAGAGGGGGAUAACUAUUGGAAACGAUAGCUAAUACCGCAUAACAGUAUGUAACACAUGUUAGAUGCUUGAAAGAUGCAAUUGCAUCGCUAGUAGAUGGACCUGCGUUGUAUUAGCUAGUAGGUAGGGUAAUGGCCUACCUAGGCGACGAUACAUAGCCGACCUGAGAGGGUGAUCGGCCACACUGGGACUGAGACACGGCCCAG
rnacentral:rRNA from 1 species